rnacentral:piRNA from 1 species
UGUGAUACUCACAUUUCUCUGUGGCCUAGA